rnacentral:rRNA from 1 species
AACGAACGCUGGCGGCAUGCCUAACACAUGCAAGUCGAACGAGACCUUCGGGUCUAGUGGCGCACGGGUGCGUAACGCGUGGGAACCUGCCCUUAGGUUCGGAAUAACUCCCCGAAAGGGGUGCUAAUACCGGAUAAUGUCUUCGGACCAAAGAUUUAUCGCCUUUGGAUGGGCCCGCGUUGGAUUAGCUAGUUGGUAGGGUAAAAGCCUACCAAGGCGACGAUCCAUAGCUGGUCUGAGAGGAUGAUCAGCCACACUGGGACUGAGACACGGCCCAGACUCCUACGGGAGGCAGCAGUGGGGAAUAUUGGACAAGGGGCGAAAGCCUGAUCCAGCAAUGCCGCGUGAGUGAUGAAGGCCUUAGGGUUGUAAAGCUCUUUUAGCCGGGAUGAUAAUGACAGUACCGGGAGAAUAAGCUCCGGCUAACUACGUG